rnacentral:lncRNA from 1 species
UUCAAUCUGAAUCGUUGAUUCAAAUUAAUCAAGGGUCUAAGUUCACAAUCCAUGUAUAUUUUAUCAUCCAAUCAGAAUUUAGAAAUAAAUUGAAUAAUAAUUAAAAAAAAAUGAAAAUAAAAGAAAACUCUCUUCUUCCAACGGAAAAGAGAGGAAAAAACGAAAAAAGAGAGGACUAUUGUUCCUCUUCUCCAUUCACCUUCAUUUCCAACCACUUACCUCAACAACACCGAAAAAACCGCCAUCCACACUCUCG